rfam:Gossypium raimondii chromosome 1, whole genome shotgun sequence.
AAGCCUGUGAUGAUUUCUUAAAUUACAGUUGGAAUUACCGACUGAAUUAUUAUUUUGAUGUCAAUUUGAUAUCUGAGGCUUUGG